UUAAUUCGUUAUUUAUCUUAAUACAUGUUAUUAAUGUAAUAUUUGGAUUAUGCCAAAAAAAAAUGUAAUAUUUGGACAGAUAUUUUUUGUUAGGAAUUUCGUUUUCUUUAUUUCCCCAAAAAAAAAUGCACCGAACAAAACGAUGAACAUCUCUCGAAUUCCAGAAGCAUUUGCGAGAUUUCUCAUAGAAAAAUCAGUACUUUGUCUCCUUUCAUACUUCUACUUGUUCAAUUCUUGAAUCAUGUGUAUAGGUGAUAUAUGAGUUACGAUUAAAUGAAGACUAUGGAGGAUAAUAUGUGAUUUUGUCAUUGUAGUUUUCUGAAAUUAAGCUGUUAAAGAUGAAGGCUGUUUUGGGAGUCACAUGAGCCUUUGGAAGAGCUGCAAAGAUUUUGUCAUCGUAGCUAUUUUGGAAUCUUUAUUUUUCAGGUUAGUGAGAUCUCAAUUUAUAUAAAAGCUUUCGUUUCUUACAUUUACUACUGUUUCUUACUACACGAUCUAGUAGAUAAUAUAUAUAACAUAGUUUUGGUUUUGUUUCAUAAGUAUUUUAAAAGUUUAAAUUGUUUAUAACAAAAUUAAAUGUUUUAAGGUGGAGGUUCCUUUGCAAGUAUGAUUUGAAUAUGGAGAAGGGAAGAGAAAUGUUGGCAUUGGAGAUAUCCAGAAAAAUAAGAGUAACAGAUACAGAGAAUAUGGAGUGAAAUAAUUCCGUUUAAACAUUUAUCGACAGGGAAACAGGUCGAAUUAAGGAUCCGAGUCAAUGACUGUAUCAGGCUGCAUAGGAUCCGCGUGUUUAUCCGAAAUAAUAACCCAGGAUCCGCUUUCUGUAACUCAUUAAAUUGUCUUAUUUAACCUUAAACAAAAUUUUUAAUUUACUCUUUGAAUGCAAAAAAGCCAAUGGCAUUCCCUCGUAA